rnacentral:lncRNA from 1 species
UUCUGAAGUGGUUUAUUUUUAAACCAGGCAACAUACCUAUUCAUAUUUAAUAUCAUAUAGAAUGUAUUAUUGUUCGUAGCAUGAACAUCUGUGUAGUGAUUUAUUUCAUUAGUCUCUCUUUCUCAAAAAAACAAUAUAAUUAUUUAAUGUGCUAAACAUCAGAAAGACUCCUUUAAAUAAGAUUGAGAUGAGUGAUUUGAUUUCAAUUCCUUUUUUCUUCCUAUGUUUUCUACACCUGUAACAACUACAACUGCUGAGCCAGUUAUAACAAAGGUGUUGCAGUUCACAUCUGUUGGAGAGAUAUUUACAGCUGACAUGCUGAACUCAUCAUCUCCAGCAUUUAUAAAUAGAGCAUCACUGAUAGUGACAACACUUGAACCUAUCUACAGGACAACAUUUUCUUCAUACUUCUCAAUGGAAGUGACUGGAUUCCGAAAUGGAUCCAUCAUCAGUAACAUUGACAUUCGGUUCGCAUCUACAUCAGUGCCAAAUGACACUGAGAUUGCAAAUGUUUUGAUCAAUGCAGCUCCAAACAUAACAGCCUUCAACAUUACCAAAGUUGUUGUCAGUGACCCAGGUAAGAAAUAUUUAAUAUGAUCAU